UACAGAGGUGGCAAGCGUUGUUCGGAAUUACUGGGCGUAAAGGGCGAGUAGGUGGCCAUCUAAGUCAGACGUGAAAUCCCCCGGCUUAACCUGGGAACUGCGUCUGAUACUGGACGGCUUGAGUAUGGGAGAGGAACGUAGAAUUCCAGGUGUAGCGGUGAAAUGCGUAGAUAUCUGGAGGAAUACCGGUGGCGAAGACGGCGUUCUGGACCAUUACUGACACUGAAUCGCGAAAGCUAGGGGAGCAAACGGG
rnacentral:rRNA from 1 species